rnacentral:rRNA from 1 species
UACGUAGGGUGCGAGCGUUAAUCGGAAUUACUGGGCGUAAAGCGUGCGCAGGCGGUUCGCUAAGACCGAUGUGAAAUCCCCGGGCUUAACCUGGGAACUGCAUUGGUGACUGGCGGGCUAGAGUAUGGCAGAGGGGGGUAGAAUUCCACGUGUAGCAGUGAAAUGCGUAGAGAUGUGGAGGAAUACCGAUGGCGAGGGCAGCCCCCUGGGCCAAUACUGACGCUCAUGCACGAAAGCGUGGGGAGCAAACAGG